AUUGAACGCUGGCGGCAGGCCUAACACAUGCAAGUCGAGCGGAUGAAGGGAGCUUGCUCCUGGAUUCAGCGGCGGACGGGUGAGUAAUGCCUAGGAAUCUGCCUGGUAGUGGGGGAUAACGUCCGGAAACGGGCGCUAAUACCGCAUACGUCCUGAGGGAGAAAGUGGGGGAGCUUCGGACCUCACGCUAUCAGAUGAGCGUAGGUCGGAUUAGCUAGUUGGUGGGGUAAAGGCCUACCAAGGCGACGAUCCGUAACUGGUCUGAGAGGAUGAUCAGUCACACUGGAACUGAGACACGGUCCAGACUCCUACGGGAGGCAGCAGUGGGGAAUAUUGGACAAUGGGCGAAAGCCUGAUCCAGCCAUGCCGCGUGUGUGAAGAAGGUCUUCGGAUUGUAAAGCACUUUAAGUUGGGAGGAAGGGCAGUAAGUUAAUACCUUGCUGUUUUGACGGUACCAACAGAAUAAGCACCGGCUAACUUCGUG
rnacentral:rRNA from 1 species